rnacentral:rRNA from 1 species
AGGGCGCAAGGGGAAUGCCUUGGCACUGAGAGCCGACGAAGGACGCGACAAGCUGCGAUAAGCUACGGGGAGCCGCAAAUGGGCUUUGAUCCGUGGAUUUCCGAAUGGGGAAACCCGAUGGAGCAAUACUCCAUCAACCAUGACUGAAUACAUAGGUCAUGGUGGGGAACCGCCUGAACUGAAACAUCUAAGUAGGGCGAGGAAGAGAAAUCAACCGAGAUUCCGCUAGUAGUGGCGAGCGAACGCGGAAGAGGCCAAACCGGAAGUAGCAAUAUUUCCGGGGUUAGGACUGCAAUAUGUAACUUUAAUCUUUAACUGAAUGCUUUGGGAAGAGCAGCGAUACAGGGUGAUAGCCCCGUAAGUGAAAAGGAUUGAGUGCUAGCAGUAUCCAGAGUACCAGCGGACACGUGAAACCCGCUGGGAAGAUGGGGGGACCAUCCUCCAAGCCUAAAUACUACUCAGUGACCGAUAGUGGAGCAGUACCGUGAGGGAAAGGUGAAAAGUACCCCGGGAGGGGAGUGAAAAAGAACCUGAAACCUUGUGCCUACAAGCACCGAGAGCACGUUAAAGUGUGAUCGGGUACUUUUUGUAGAACGGUCCGGCGAGUUAAUAUUUGCAGCGAGGUUAAGGAACUGGAGUUCCGGAGCCGCAGCGAGAGCGAGUCUGAAAAGGGCGUAUGAAGUUGCAGGUAUUAGACCCGAAACCGGGUGACCUAUCCAUGAGCAGGCUGAAGCGGUGGUAAGACACCGUGGAGGGCCGCACCCACGUCUGUUGAAAAAGCCGGGGAUGACUUGUGGAUAGCGGAGAAAUUCCAAUCGAACUCGGAGAUAGCUGGUUCUCCCCGAAAUAGCUUUAGGGCUAGCGUUAUUUUAGAUUACCGGAGGUAAAGCACUGAAUGGUCUAGGGGCCGCGAGGUUACCAAAGCCUAUCAAACUCUGAAUGCCGGAUAAUUGAUGAAUAGCAGUCAGACUGUGUGAGAUAAGUCUCAUAGUCAAAAGGGAAACAGCCCAGAUCUACAGCUAAGGUCCCAAAUGAACACUAAGUGGAAAAUGAUGUGAAAUUGCGAAGACAACCAGGAUGUUGGCUUAGAAGCAGCCACUCAUUCAAAGAGUGCGUAAUAGCUCACUGGUCGAGUGGUUUUGCGCAGAAAAUGUAACGGGGCUAAGUGUUCAACCGAAGCUUAGGCAUUGUACUUUGUACAUUGGGUAGGGGAGCGUCGUAUGCGGGGCGAAGUCAGAGCGGAAGCACUGGUGGACUGCAUACGAGUGAGAAUGCCGGAAUAAGUAGCGAGAAUUAUGUGGGAAUCAUAAUGGCCGAAAAUCUAAGGUUUCUUGGGGAAGGUUCGUCCGCCCAAGGUUAGUCGGGAGCUAAGCUCAGGCCGAAAGGCGUAGGCGAUGCACAUACGGUAGAAAUUCCGUAACCACCGAACAUUUAAGCUAGAGGGACGCUUUCUUUAAGGUUAUCCCGGGCGAUGGUUGCCCCGGGCGUAAGGGACCGAAAUAUAGUAGGGAAGUAACUGGCGAGAGAGACGAGAAAAGCUCUAUGUAUACUAAGGUGCCCGUACCGCAAACCGACACAGGUAGAUGAGGAGAGUAUUCUAAGGCCAACGGGAGAAGGGUUGUUAAGGAACUCGGCAAAUUGGCCCCGUAACUUCGGGAUAAGGGGCGCCUGCGAGAGCAGGCCGCAGUGAAAAGGCCCAAGCGACUGUUUAGCAAAAACACAGCUCUCUGCUAAAUCGAAAGAUGACGUAUAGGGGGUGACGCCUGCCCGGUGCUGGAAGGUUAAGGGGAGUGCUUAGCGCAAGCGAAGGUGCGAACUUAAGCCCCAGUAAACGGCGGCCGUAACUAUAACGGUCCUAAGGUAGCGAAAUUCCUUGUCAGGUAAGUUCUGACCCGCACGAAUGGCGUAACGAUUUGGGCACUGUCUCAACAGCCCGCCCGGCGAAAUUGUAGUACCGGUGAAGAUGCCGGUUUCCCGCAACUAGACGGAAAGACCCCAUGGAGCUUUACUGUAGCUUGAUAUUGGAUCUCGGUAUUCCAUGUACAGGAUAGGUGGGAGGCUAGGAAGCGAGCGCGCCAGCGUUCGUGGAGCCAACCUUGGGAUACCACUCUUGGGAUAUUGGGAUUCUAACCUGCGACCAUGAAUCUGGUCGGGGGACACUGUUAGGUGGGCAGUUUGACUGGGGCGGUCGCCUCCAAA